rnacentral:rRNA from 1 species
AGUGAACGCUGGCGGUAGGCCUAACACAUGCAAGUCGAACGGCAGCACAGGAGAGCUUGCUCUCUGGGUGGCGAGUGGCGGACGGGUGAGGAAUACAUCGGAAUCUGCCCAGUCGUGGGGGAUAACGUAGGGAAACUUACGCUAAUACCGCAUACGACCUUCGGGUGAAAGAGGGGGAUCGCAAGACCUCUCGCGGUUGGAUGAGCCGAUGUCGGAUUAGCUAGUUGGCGGGGUAAUGGCCCACCAAGGCGACGAUCCGUAGCUGGUCUGAGAGGAUGAUCAGCCACACUGGAACUGAGACACGGUCCAGACUCCUACGGGAGGCAGCAGUGGGGAAUAUUGGACAAUGGGCGCAAGCCUGAUCCAGCCAUACCGCGUGGGUGAAGAAGGCCUUCGGGUUGUAAAGCCCUUUUGUUGGGAAAGAAAUCUUUCAGGCUAAUACCCUGGGAGGAUGACGGUACCCAAAGAAUAAGCACCGGCUAACUUCGUG